GCUCAAGCGCCAGGCCAAGAGAAAGGGAAAAAUGGAGAUCAAGGAGUGCUUGGUAAGGACAACCACACAGCCCCCGCCCAUUGGCUGGGGAAGGGGAUGCUGGCAGAAGGGGCUGCACCACCAGCUGCAGAGUGUCUGCAAGCCUCAUGCCUUUGUGUUCUUCUCCAGCUGCGGCAGGACAGGCAGACGGCGAAUGAAUACCUUUGGCUGAGCCUGCCAUACCUGCAAAAUUCUCAGGCCUCUUUGCGAUAUGAGGCUGUUGAAUUCAUUGGUGAGCCCAACCCCUGGGACCCUCUUUGGGCCCUGCCCUGGCAACAGAGCGCAGCCCUGCAGCCCCCAGAUAAACCCUGCCCAUGCCAGUAGCCCCGACGAGUGCCUUGCUCAGGUCCUCCCUCGGGCACCCUCCCUGCCUGUGGCACGGGAGGGGAAGCAGCUGGGCUGGCAGGGUCGGGGUCUGUGCUCCUGGCAGCGUGUUGGGGACUGGGGGUCUGAUGGGAGCUCUUUCCCUAGGGCUGGCUUUGCAGCACUCCGGACACCAAAGCAGGGAGAAGCUGAAUGUAAUUUGCAGUGCCCUCCAGCCUUUGAGAGGCGAUGCCCACCCAGCAGUCCGUUCCGUGGCAACUGGAGUAAUCCAGAAAUGUCAAGGCCAGAAGGCAGAACCAACACGGAGGAGGUUCAAAGGACUGUGCUGCUGGCCCUGCUGAGCCGUGUGUCCUUAUCAAGACGACUCUGAUUAAAACUGGCAUUACAAAGCCAUUCCCUUGCAUGGGGAUACAGAUCCACUGGAGGCCUGGACAAUCAGCAACGACACGCAGUUCCACUGAAGGACAGACCAGACCUUUAAGCUGGCAUUCAUUGCUCCUAAGGACCCCGUGGCUUUCCUUCAUGUUCUUUCAAGGUCAUUACCCCACCCAUGUACAAAAUAAGAGUAGCUUCACGGCAGAUAUGGAAGAGCAAUGGGUGGGGCUGGCAUGGUCUGGAGGGGAUGCUGGCAGGUCACUGCAGGCCAGUCCGUUUCAUCUCGGCUCUGUUUCCUUCUGCUGCAGCCCUCCAGCCUUUGGAAGAUGACGCCCACCUGGCAGUCCGGUCCCUGGCAGCUGGGACAGUUCUGGUGCUGAGAAUUCAAAGGAGAAUUCAACAUCACCACUGGACUAGCUUGCAGCCCUUUGCUUCUGUCCCUGCAAAGCCAUCCAUCCUUAGGAAGAUGACUCAGAUUAAAACUUGGAUUACAAAGCCUUGCAAGCUGUCCUACAGACCAAGUCUUCGCUUUCCUGCUCAAGCGAAACAGCAAGUACUUACAACCAGAGGAUGAAGAGAGAAGCGUGUAGCAGAAAGCAAUCCAAAUGCCCAGGGGACUGAGAAGGGAUUCUUGUAGUCAUGGCAGCUACCAAAUGAGAAUCAAUAAAUCAUAGAAUCAUAGAAGGGCCUGGGUUGAAAAGGACCACAAUGACCAUCGAGUUUCAACCCCCCUGCUGUGUGCAGGGUCGCCAACCACCAGACCAGGCUGCCCAGAGCCACAUCCAGCCUGGCCUUGAAUGCCUCCAGGGACGGGGCACCCACAGCCUCUCUGGGCAACCUGUUCCAGUGUGUCACCACCCUCUGCGUGGAACAGCUUCUUCCUAAUAUCCAACCUAAACCUCCCCCGUCCCAGUUUAAAACCAUUCCCCCUUGUCCUAUCACUACCCACCCUCAUCAACAGCUGUUAAUUAAUCAUCAAUAAAAUUUUUAAAAUGUCCUCCCCGCAGUGAAGUCUUUGAAUUUCAUGUGCCCAGCAGUCCUGAACUGUCCUCGUCUUUCACACAGAAAGCAGCUACCGAGGCGAGAGGAGGAUUUGUUGGCUGCUGGUGGCAAAUAUGCACUGUUCAUGCUCAUGGGUCACCUGGUUUCAUUGCCACGUCUCACAGGUGCAAGGUAAUCACACUCCACUGCUCCAAAAGUGACGCCUCCUAUUUAUUUCCAUGGAAACGACAACCACUACAAGGAGCACAAUAACACUGUUUGACUGAGCAGUUCUCAGCUACAAAGUGCUAUUUUUCAACACAGUCACCACCAUCAGCUCUGUAUUUUUGCCAGCGAUGAACAAGGGCCUGUGUGCCACGCCUGAAAAUAUCUGCACCAGUGGAGUUGCCUCGCUGCCUCUCUUGCCACUGCUGAAACGCACCACCCGCCACCUCACCGUGCUCACACCCACGGACUGGUCUCCGUAGGCGUUCAGCAAGCAUCGAUGACCAUCACCGGGUGCCUUUUUUCUGCACAGAGGAAUUCACUUUCACACUUCCGCUUCAUUCGCACUUCCAUGUCAGACACCGCUCUGUCAGGUUGCCCCUCUGCUGCUAUCUGUCACACAACAACAAAAUGUAGCGGGAUAUUGGUGGGAAGGCUCAACCUCUACUGCCACCCUGCCAACAUACGCCUCUGGUGUCGUGGGCCAACAGCAUAACAUAGGUGUAAAAUCUGGUCAACGCCCAAGUACAGGGGCAGGAUGACUUCCCUAGUCCUGCUCACCACACCGUUCCUGAUACAAGCCAGGGUGCCAUUGGCCUUCUUGGCCACCUGGGCACACUGCUGGCUCAUAUUCAGCCGACUGUCUAACAGUACACCGAGGUCCCUUUCCAUCAGGCAGCUUUCCAGCCACACCUCCCCAAGCCUGUAGGGUUGCUUGGGGUUGCUGUGAGCAAAAUGCAGGACCCGACGCUUGGCCCUACUGAAACUCAUACCGUUAACCUUGGCCCAUUGAUCCAGUCUAUCCAGGUCCCUCUGUAGUUCC
rnacentral:lncRNA from 7 species